AGCGAACGCUGGCGGCAGGCCUAACACAUGCAAGUCGAACGAACCUUUCGGGGUUAGUGGCGGACGGGUGAGUAACACGUGGGAACGUGCCUUUAGGUUCGGAAUAACUCAGGGAAACUUGUGCUAAUACCGAAUGUGCCCUUCGGGGGAAAGAUUUAUCGCCUUUAGAGCGGCCCGCGUCUGAUUAGCUAGUUGGUUGAGGUAAUGGCUCACCAAGGCGACGAUCAGUAGCUGGUCUGAGAGGAUGAUCAGCCACAUUGGGACUGAGACACGGCCCAAAAUCCUACGGGAGGCAGCAGUGGGGAAUCUUGCGCAAAGGGCGAAAGCCUGACGCAGCCAUGCCGCGUGAAUGAUGAAGGUCUUAGGAUUGUAAAAUUCUUUCACCGGGGACGAUAAUGACGGUACCCGGAGAAGAAGCCCCGGCUAACUUCGUG
rnacentral:rRNA from 1 species